UACGUAGGGGGCAAGCGUUGUCCGGAUUUAUUGGGCGUAAAGAGCGUGUAGGCGGCUUUGCAAGUCCGUUGUGAAAACUCGAGGCUCAACCUCGAGACGCCGGUGGAAACUGCAAAGCUAGAGUCCGGAAGAGGAGAGUGGAAUUCCUGGUGUAGCGGUGAAAUGCGCAGAUAUCAGGAAGAACACCCGUGGCGAAGGCGGUUCUCUGGGACGGUACUGACGCUGAGACGCGAAAGCGUGGGGAGCGAACAGG
rnacentral:rRNA from 1 species